rnacentral:rRNA from 1 species
AAGACCUUGCGCUUUUGGAGCGGCCGAUGCCUGAUUAGCUUGUUGGUAGGGUAAAAGCUUACCAAGGCUUCGAUCAGUAGCUGGUCUGAGAGGACGACCAGCCACACUGGGACUGAGACACGGCCCAGACUCCUACGGGAGGCAGCAGUGGGGAAUUUUGGACAAUGGGGGCAACCCUGAUCCAGCCAUGCCGCGUGAGUGAAGAAGGCCUUCGGGUUGUAAAGCUCUUUCAGCCGGAACGAAACGGUUACGGAUAACACCCGUGACUACUGACGGUACCGGAAGAAGAAGCACCGGCUAACUACGUGCCAGCAGCCGCGGUAAUACGUAGGGUGCGAGCGUUAAUCGGAAUUACUGGGCGUAAAGCGUGCGCAGGUGGUUCUGUAAGUCAGAUGUGAAAGCCCCGGGCUCAACCUGGGAACU